rfam:Caenorhabditis tropicalis strain JT1373 unplaced genomic scaffold Scaffold629, whole genome shotgun sequence.
CCAACGGCCCUCUUUAGGGCCACACUAUCCUAUAAUCCUACUUUUCU